GACGAACGCUGGCGGCGUGCCUAAUACAUGCAAGUAGAACGCUGAAGAGAGGAGCUUGCUCUUCUUGGAUGAGUUGCGAACGGGUGAGUAACGCGUAGGUAACCUGCCUGGUAGCGGGGGAUAACUAUUGGAAACGAUAGCUAAUACCGCAUAAAAUGGAUUAUCGCAUGAUAAUCCAUUGAAAGGUGCAAAUGCAUCACUACCAGAUGGACCUGCGUUGUAUUAGCUAGUUGGUGGGGUAACGGCUCACCAAGGCGACGAUACAUAGCCGACCUGAGAGGGUGGUCGGCCACAAUGGGACUGGGACACCGCCCAGACUCCUACGGGAGGGAGCAGGAGGGAAACUUCGGCAAUGGACGGAAGUCUGACCGAGCAACGCCGCGUGAGUGAAGAAGGUUUUCGGAUCGUAAAGCUCUGUUGUAAGAGAAGAACGAGUGUGAGAGUGGAAAGUUCACACUGUGACGGUAUCUUACCAGAAAGGGACGGCUAACUACGUG
rnacentral:rRNA from 1 species